rnacentral:rRNA from 1 species
UACGGGGGGGGCUAGCGUUGUUCGGAAUUACUGGGCGUAAAGGGCUCGUAGGCGGCCAUCUAAGUCAGACGUGAAAUCCCUCGGCUUAACCGGGGAACUGCGUCUGAUACUGGAUGGCUUGAGUUUGGGAGAGGGAUGCGGAAUUCCAGGUGUAGCGGUGAAAUGCGUAGAUAUCUGGAGGAACACCGGUGGCGAAGGCGGCAUCCUGGACCAACACUGACGCUGAGGAGCGAAAGCCAGGGGAGCAAACGGG